AUGUACAUUCCUACAUAAUAGCAUUAAUUCACCAGAUCCCAUUAGAACUAUGCAGUUAAGUGCGCUCAUGCUAGAGUAAUACUGGGAUGGGUGACCGCCCGAGAAUUCCCAGUGUUUUACAUG
rfam:Picea glauca, whole genome shotgun sequence.